AUUUAAUCUCAACGAUUUCUCAUACUGCACUCAUAUUUGGCAAGAAGAAUCUGUGAACUCACUUCAGUCAACUCAUCACCAUCUACUUAUCAUCUAUUAUGAAUGAUGACAACCAUAACAUUUAAAGUUGUUAGCCGGCUCUUCUUCAAAUGAACUCUACACAGCUGCCUUCCUGUCACUUCCAUGGAAGUUCUAGAAAAACAAAAUAUUUCCCAAAGCAAAAUAUUUCCUCAUCCAUGAAUAGGCCUACCUGAGG